rnacentral:rRNA from 1 species
GUUUACCACGGUAUGAUUCAUGACUGGGGUGAAGUCGUAACAAGGUAACCGUAGGGGAACCUGCGGUUGGAUCACCUCCUUACCAAAGAA